UAAAUGAUGUUGAGAGAGUCUCCCACAAAGG
rnacentral:piRNA from 1 species